GGCGAGUGGGCAGGUAGGUUAUGCAGCGGAUUGCAAAUCCGUCUAGAUCGGUUCGAUUCCGAUACUCGCCUCCA
rnacentral:tRNA from 1 species